rnacentral:rRNA from 1 species
CCUACGGGAGGCAGCAGUGAGGAAUAUUGGUCAAUGGGCGCGAGCCUGAACCAGCCAAGUCGCGUGAAGGAUGACUGCCCUACGGGUUGUAAACUUCUUUUAUAAAGGAGUAAAGUGAGGCACGUGUGCCUUUUUGUAUGUACUUUAUGAAUAAGGAUCGGCUCACUCCGUGCCAGCCGCCGCGGGAAUACGGAGGAUCCGAGCGUUAUCCGGAUUUAUUUGGUUUAAAGGGAGCGUAGAUGGGUUGUUAAGUCAGUGGUGAAAGUUUGGGGCUCAACCGUAGAAUUGCAAUUGAUACUGGCAGUCUUGAGUACAGUUGAGGUAGGCGGAAUUCGUGGUGUAGCGGUGAAAUGCUUAGAUAUCACGAAGAACUCCGAUUGCGAAGGCAGCUUACUAAACUGCCACUGACAUUGAUGCUCGAAAGUGUGGGGAUCAAACAGGAUUAGAUACCCUGGUAGUC